UCGGAUUCGAUUUUUUUUAUUAUUUUAAUUAGGUCUGGAAUUGAUACCAUGAAUUUGAUUUUGUUUUUGUUUAUUUUCUUCUCAAGAUUAAUCCAUGAAUACGAUUUUGUUUAUUAUGCAAGGGUUUCGUUUUUGACUUCAUAAUCUCCUUGUUGUUCACAUGAAUCACAACAAAAAGAAAAGAAAGGGGAUUUGUAACAAAAACCCUAGCUACGCAUCCUAAGUUGCAAUCUAUCAAGCACAAAAAGCGGGGGAGCAAAUCUCACAUUUGCAGGCCUGGCAACCACGACAUUCUCAUCUGCAAAUAGUGAUUUGAUAAAUGAAGGAGUCUUAAGAGGGCGACGACCAGUCAUCCGAGGAUACACAUCUUCCAGGAAGUAGUAUGCAUGACCUGCUAUCAUUCCCUGAAAUACAAUAAACUUUGUUAUGCAACAGAACAAGCGUAGAACGAUAUUAAUCGUACUAGUGAUUAUUUUAUCAUCAGCCUAUUCCACAACACGGUAGACAUCGGUCGAACAUAAUGUAUAUUCCAAUCCGAUCGUUUUUUUCAUCAGAAAUAUUUACAUAAGAGUUGAAAUUCACAAUACAUAUUCAAUUUUAUCUUUUA